rnacentral:misc_RNA from 1 species
GAGCAGACAAACCCAAAAAAUCAAGAACAAAGGCGGCAUAUAAUGUAAAUCUUUAUCAAAGCUGAAAUCCCAAUAUUCGUAUCUUGCAGUACACACCGCAAGAAAGAUAACGACAAUAAAUAUCAUAGUGACUC